GUUAGUGAGCUUUGUGUGGCUGCAUCUAAGAGCCAAAUUUCUUGUUGAGAGUGUGUUCUUGUUUAAGUGCUGAAAUAAGUCGUGAAAUUGAACUGUGCUAACUAUCUAGAGCUGUGCAGCCUCUUUUUGGUUGAUCUCUACAGAGUUGCUUUGAUCGGGAUUCAAUUUGUGUAGAGUAUAGCUGGUGCAAACAGUAGCAGCAACAUAUCUGUUGUGAAGUGUUGAACUAAAGGGAGUAUUUCAUCUUAAAUUGUUGUUGUUUUGUCUAAACUAUUGCUGUUAUAGAAUGUCCUUGCUUAGCAAUAUUUGAAGUGUGGAAUCUGGUAUGAUAUUUGUGCAGACUAGGAUUAGCCAAUUUGUAUGCUGAAUUGGAUUUGCUAAGACCUAUUGGAACUUGGAAGAUGAUUUAUGAAAUUGCAAAUACUGUUCUGAUUGGUUUGUAAGCAUUUCUGGAUUGCAUCAAUANUGUUUUCAUUGCCCAUAUCUCAUACANAUUUACAANAGUGACUAAAGNACUUCAUUUCCAAUUCUGAUUGCAUGCUUGAAUGAAUUUGCUGAUUGCUGCAUUGGGUUCUCAUUAGAAGCAAUUAUUCUCUCUUUGUUGAAAACAUCCCUCCAAUUGUAUUUGAAAAGCAGCUUCAGAAUUCAGUUUUAAUCAUAUCAAUUGAUUGUAUAUCUUUGCAUGUCACCUUAAAACUGAUUUCAUGUUUUCAACAUCAGUGGCUGCACAGU
rnacentral:lncRNA from 1 species